GUGCUUGAUAGCUCAGUUGGUUAGAGCCUGGUGCUGAGAAUGCCAAGGUUGCAGGUUCGAUCCCUGUAUGGGACA
rnacentral:tRNA from 1 species